AGUGAACGCUGGCGGUAGGCCUAACACAUGCAAGUCGAACGGCAGCACAGUAAGAGCUUGCUCUUACGGGUGGCGAGUGGCGGACGGGUGAGGAAUACAUCGGAAUCUACUUUUUCGUGGGGGAUAACGUAGGGAAACUUACGCUAAUACCGCAUACGACCUACGGGUGAAAGUAGGGGAUCUUCGGACCUUGCGCGAUUGAAUGAGCCGAUGUCGGAUUAGCUAGUUGGCGGGGUAAAGGCCCACCAAGGCGACGAUCCGUAGCUGGUCUGAGAGGAUGAUCAGCCACACUGGAACUGAGACACGUUCCAGACUCCUACGGGAGGCAGCAGUGGGGAAUAUUGGACAAUGGGCGCAAGCCUGAUCCAGCCAUACCGCGUGGGUGAAGAAGGCCUUCGGGUUGUAAAGCCCUUUUGUUGGGAAAGAAAAGCAGCAGGUUAAUACCCCGCUGUUCUGACGGUACCCAAAGAAUAAGCACCGGCUAACUUCGUG
rnacentral:rRNA from 1 species